rnacentral:rRNA from 1 species
ACUCAAAGGAAUAGACGGGGGCCCGCACAAGCGGUGGAGCAUGUUGUUAAUACGUCACUAACCGUAGAACCUUACCAAGGGCUUGACAUCUGCCGACAGCUCAUGAAAGUGGGUUUUCCUCGCAAGAGGACGGCAAGACAGGUGUUGCAUGGCUGUCGUCAGCUCGUGUCGUGAGAUGUUGGGUUAAGUCCCGCAACGAGCGCAACCCUCACCCAUGAAUUCGCAGUUGCCAGCGGAUAAAGCCGGGAACUCUUGGGGAACUGCCCGGAGAACGCGUUACAGGGAGGAAGGUGGGGAUGACGUCAAGUCAGCAUGGCCCUUACGCCCUGGGCUACAAACAUGCUACAAUGGACGGCACACAAAGGGACCCGAGACCGCGAGGUGGAGGCAAUCUCAAAAAUCCGUCCCCAGUUCAGAUCGCAGGCUGCAACUCGCCUGCGUGAAGUCGGAAUCGCUAGUAACCGCAGAUCAGCGAAGCUGCGGUGAAUACGUUCCCGGGCCUUGUACACACCGCCCGU